rnacentral:rRNA from 1 species
AGAGUUUGAUCCUGGCUCAGGACGAACGCUGGCGGCGUGCCUAAUACAUGCAAGUAGAACGCUGAGGUUUGGUGUUUACACUAGACUGAUGAGUUGCGAACGGGUGAGUAACGCGUAGGUAACCUGCCUCAUAGCGGGGGAUAACUAUUGGAAACGAUAGCUAAUACCGCAUAAGAGUAAUUAACACAUGUUAGUUAUUUAAAAGGAGCAAUUGCUUCACUGUGAGAUGGACCUGCGUUGUAUUAGCUAGUUGGUGAGGUAAAGGCUCACCAAGGCGACGAUACAUAGCCGACCUGAGAGGGUGAUCGGCCACACUGGGACUGAGACACGGCCCAGACUCCUACGGGAGGCAGCAGUAGGGAAUCUUCGGCAAUGGACGGAAGUCUGACCGAGCAACGCCGCGUGAGUGAAGAAGGUUUUCGGAUCGUAAAGCUCUGUUGUUAGAGAAGAACGUUGGUAGGAGUGGAAAAUCUACCAAGUGACGGUAACUAACCAGAAAGGGACGGCUAACUACGUGCCAGCAGCCGCGGUAAUACGUAGGUCCCGAGCGUUGUCCGGAUUUAUUGGGCGUAAAGCGAGCGCAGGCGGUUCUUUAAGUCUGAAGUUAAAGGCAGUGGCUUAACCAUUGUACGCUUUGGAAACUGGAGGACUUGAGUGCAGAAGGGGAGAGUGGAAUUCCAUGUGUAGCGGUGAAAUGCGUAGAUAUAUGGAGGAACACCGGUGGCGAAAGCGGCUCUCUGGUCUGUAACUGACGCUGAGGCUCGAAAGCGUGGGGAGCAAACAGGAUUAGAUACCCUGGUAGUCCACGCCGUAAACGAUGAGUGCUAGGUGUUAGGCCCUUUCCGGGGCUUAGUGCCGCAGCUAACGCAUUAAGCACUCCGCCUGGGGAGUACGACCGCAAGGKUGAAACUCAAAGGAAUUGACGGGGGGCCCGCACAAGCGGUGGAGCAUGUGKUUUAAUUCGAAGCAACGCGAAAGAMCCUUACCAGGUCUUGACAUCCUUCUGACCGGCCUAGAGAUAGGCUUUCUCUUCGGAGCAGAAGUGACAGGUGGUGCAUGGUUGUCGUCAGCUCGUGUCGUGAGAUGUUGGGUUAAGUCCCGCAACGAGCGCAACCCCUAUUGUUAGUUGCCAUCAUUAAGUUGGGCACUCUAGCGAGACUGCCGGUAAUAAACCGGAGGAAGGUGGGGAUGACGUCAAAUCAUCAUGCCCCUUAUGACCUGGGCUACACACGUGCUACAAUGGUUGGUACAACGAGUCGCAAGCCGGUGACGGCAAGCUAAUCUCUUAAAGCCAAUCUCAGUUCGGAUUGUAGGCUGCAACUCGCCUACAUGAAGUCGGAAUCGCUAGUAAUCGCGGAUCAGCACGCCGCGGUGAAUACGUUCCCGGGCCUUGUACACACCGCCCGGUCACACCACGAGAGUUUGUAACACCCGAAGUCGGUGAGGUAACCUUUUAGGAGCCAGCCGCCUAAGGUGGGAUAGAUGAUUGGGGUGAAGUCGUAACAAGGUA